rnacentral:rRNA from 1 species
UGCCGCAUGUCGUGUCGGGAAAGAUUCAUCGGUAUGGGAUGGGGUCGCGUCCUAUCAGCUUGAUGGCGGGGUAACGGCCCACCAUGGCUUCGACGGGUAGCCGGCCUGAGAGGGCGACCGGCCACAUUGGGACUGAGAUACGGCCCAGACUCCUACGGGAGGCAGCAGUGGGGAAUAUUGCACAAUGGGCGCAAGCCUGAUGCAGCGACGCCGCGUGCGGGAUGACGGCCUUCGGGUUGUAAACCGCUUUUGACUGGGAGCAAGCCCUUCGGGGUGAGUGUACCUUUCGAAUAAGCACCGGCUAACUACGUGCCAGCAGCCGCGGUAAUACGUAGGGUGCAAGCGUUAUCCGGAAUUAUUGGGCGUAAAGGGCUCGUAGGCGGUUCGUCGCGUCCGGUGUGAAAGUCCAUCGCUUAACGGUGGAUCCGCGCCGGGUACGGGCGGGCUUGAGUGCGGUAGGGGAGACUGGAAUUCCCGGUGUAACGGUGGAAUGUGUAGAUAUCGGAAAAGAACACCA